AACGAACGCUGGCGGCGUGCCUAACACAUGCAAGUCGUGCGAGAAAGUUCCUUCGGGAGCGAGUAAAGCGGCGCACGGGUGAGUAACACGUAGGUAACCUGCCCCCCAGUCUGGAACAACUAGAGGAAACUCUAGCUAAUGCCGGAUGAGACCACGAUCCCCUUCGGGGGUUGCGGCCAAAGAUGGCCUCUACUUGUAAGCUAUCGCUGAGGGAUGGGCCUGCGGGCCAUUAGCUUGUUGGUGAGGUAACGGCUCACCAAGGCUGUGAUGGCUAGCUGGUCUGAGAGGAUGACCAGCCACACUGGGACUGAGACACGGCCCAGACUCCUACGGAGGCAGCAGUGGGGAAUAUUGCGCAAUGGGCGAAAGCCUGACGCAGCGACGCCGCGUGGGUGAUGAAGGCC
rnacentral:rRNA from 1 species